rnacentral:rRNA from 1 species
CCUACGGGCGGCAGCAGUGGGGAAUAUUGCACAAUGGGGGACACCCUGAUGCAGCGACGCCGCGUGAAGGAAGAAGUAUUUCGGUAUGUAAACCUCUAUCAGCAGGGAAGAAAAUGACGGUACCUGACGAAGAAGACCCGGCUAACUACGGGCCAGCAGCCGCGGUAAUACGUAGGGGGCAAGCGUUAUUCGGCUUUACUGGGUGGAAAGGGGGCGUAGGCGGUGUAGCAAGUCAGAAGUGAAAGCCAGGGGCUCAACCCCGGGACUGCUUUUGAAACUGUUGAACUAGAGUGCAGGAGAGGUAAGCGGAAUUCCUAGUGUAGCGGUGAAAUGCGUAGAUAUUAGGAAGAACACCAGUUGCGAAGGCGGCUUACUGGACUGUAAAUGACGCUGAGGCUCGAAAGCGUGGGGAGCAAACAGGAUUAGAUACCCCAGUAGUC